rnacentral:rRNA from 1 species
UACGUAGGGUGCGAGCGUUGUCCGGAAUUACUGGGCGUAAAGAGCUCGUAGGUGGUUUGUCGCGUUGUUCGUGAAAACUCACAACUCAAUUGUGGGCGUGCGGGCGAUACGGGCAGACUGGAGUACUGCAGGGGAGACUGGAAUUCCUGGUGUAGCGGUGGAAUGCGCAGAUAUCAGGAGGAACACCGGUGGCGAAGGCGACUCUUUGGUCUGUAACUGACGCUGAGGCGCGAAAGCGUGGGGAGCAAACAGG